CAGUAGCCACGGUAAUACGUAGGUGGCAAGCGUUGUCCGGAAUUAUUGGGCGUAAAGGGCUCGCAGGCGGUUUCUUAAGUCUGAUGUGAAAGCCCCCGGCUCAACCGGGGAGGGUCAUUGGAAACUGGGAAACUUGAGUGCAGAAGAGGAGGGUGGAAUUCCACGUGUAGCGGUGAAAUGCGUAGAGAUGUGGAGGAACACCAGUGGCGAAGGCGACUCUCUGGUCUGUAACUGACGCUGAGGAGCGAAAGCGUGGGGAGCGAACAGGAUUAGAUACCCCCGUAGUCCCUGUCUCUUAUAC
rnacentral:rRNA from 1 species